rnacentral:rRNA from 1 species
UAGGGAAUAUUAGUAAUGGGCGAAAGCCUGAACUAGCAACACCGCGUGUGCGAAGAAGGCCUUCGGGUUGUAAAGCACUUUUUGAGAGGAUGAGGAAGGACGGUACUCUCAGAAUAAGUCUCGGCUAACUACGUGCCAGCAGCCGCGGUAAUACGUAGGAGGCAAACGUUAUCCGGAUUUACUGGGCGUAAAGCGCGUGUAGGUGGUUUGGUAAGUAGAGCGUGAAAGCUCCUGGCUCAACUGGGAGAGGUCGUUCUAAACUGCCGGACUAGAGGAUGGUAGAGGGAGGUGGAAUUCCGGGUGUAGUGGUGAAAUGCGUAGAUAUCCGGAGGAACACCAGUGGCGAAAGCGGCCUCCUGGACCAUUCCUGACACUCAGACGCGAAAGCUAGGGUAGCAAACG